GCCGAAGUGUUGGAACUGGCAGACAAGCCGGUCUCAAAAACCGGUGGCUUCUAAAAAGCCGUGUGGGUUCGAGUCCCACCUUCGGCA
rnacentral:tRNA from 1 species